AUUGAACGCUGGCGGCAGGCCUAACACAUGCAAGUCGAGCGGUUGAGGUAGCUUGCUACCGAUGCAGCGGCGAACGGGUGAGUAAUACAUGGGAAUCUGCCUGGUAGUGGGGGACAACGUUUCGAAAGGAACGCUAAUACCGCAUACGCCCUACGGGGGAAAGGGGGGGAUCGCAAGACCUCUCGCUAUCAGAUGAGCCCAUGUCAGAUUAGCUAGGUGGUGAGGUAAAGGCUCACCAAGGCGACGAUCCGUAACUGGUCUGAGAGGAUGUGCAGUCACACUGGAACUGGGACACGGUCCAGACUCCUACGGGUGGCAGCAGUGGCGAAUAUUGGACAAUGGGGGCAACCCUGAUCCAGCCAUGCCGCGUGUGUGAAGAAGGCCUUAGGGUUGUAAAGCACUUUCAGUGGGGAGAAAGGUGAUUCACCUAAUACUUGGGUCGAUUGAUGCUACCCACAGAAGAAGCACCGGCUAACUCUGUGCCAGCCGCCGCCGUAA
rnacentral:rRNA from 1 species